rnacentral:rRNA from 1 species
GAUGAACGCUGGCGGCGUGCCUAAUACAUGCAAGUCGAGCGAACAGACGAGGCGCUUGCUCCUUUGACGUUAGCGGCGGACGGGUGAGUAACACGUGGGUAACCUACCUAUAAGACGGGGAUAACUUCGGGAAACCGGAGAUAAUACCGGAUAAGAUUCUGAAGCGCAGGGUUCGAUAGUGAAAGAUGGCGUUGCUAUAACUUAUAGAUGGACUUGCGCCGUAUGAGGUAGUUGGUAAGGUAACGGCCUACCAAGGCAACGAGUCGUAGGCGAGCUGAGAGGGGGAUCGGCCACCUUGGAACUGAGCCAGCGUCCAGAGGCCUACGGGAGGCACCAGUAGGCUAUCGUCCGCAGUAGGCGAAAGCCUGACGCAGCGACGCCGCGUGUGUGAUGGAGGUCUUCCGAUCGUAAUGCCCUGUUAUUAGGUAAGAACAGAUGUGUAAGUAACUGUGCACGGCGUGACGGUACCUAAUCAGAAAGCCACGGCUAACUACGUG